rnacentral:rRNA from 1 species
CAGCAGCCGCGGGAAUACGAAGGGGGCUAGCGUUGCUCGGAAUGACUGGGCGUAAAGGGCGCGUAGGCGGUUUUGACAGUCAGAUGUGAAAUUCCUGGGCUUAACCUGGGGGCUGCAUUUGAGACGUCAAGACUAGAGUGUGAGAGAGGGUUGUGGAAUUCCCAGUGUAGAGGUGAAAUUCGUAGAUAUUGGGAAGAACACCGGUGGCGAAGGCGGCGACCUGGUCCUUGACUGACGCUGAGGCGCGAAAGCGUGGGGAGCAAACAGGAUUAGAUACCCCUGUAGUCCCUGUCUCUUAUAC